CUGAAAUAAGCGCCUUGGACCCACUUUCAUCCUAACCUUCUCUAAUCUCUCUUUGACAAUCCACGAACACCAUCUUUGCAUUCUCAAUCUAUACGCACACGUUUCUAUGUAUCUCUCUUAUUCGAUAUAAAAUAAAAGCCCCGUCGUUCCAGAUCAUCACUUCGACGUCCCUUCUUCAGCUCAAGUAAUUUCAAUUUUGUCUUCAUGGCUGAGAUUUAUUGGUAAGUUAUUACGAGAGUCUUGCUAAAUUAGUUAUGAGGAGGUCGAGAUACCAUAAUGUUGCUAAUCAAGGUUUUGAUGAGUGGACAAUUACAAAGGCCCUCACUUUGUCUGAUGUUGAUGUCACUCAUCCAUUUCUCACUCUGCCUCGACAACCUGUUGAAAACUAUGUGCUUGUGCAUUUGACGCAACGAGAACAGGAUAUGUUAAUGAAUAAAGAGCAAGUAACCAUUAAUGCUAAAGAUGAGGAUACUGGUGAAGUUCAUUUGAUGAAGCUAAAAUGGCGUGGGAGUUACUAUAAUCUUAUCGGGAAAUGGGGAAGUAUUGUUCGAGCUAAGAAUCUUGAGGUUGGGAGAGAGAUUAAAAUACGCUGGUUUAAUGGAUGCCUACACUUUUCUGUUCCAGAACAGCAGGUUCAGGCAGUGACACCAUUGCAGGAUGUUGCACCACCGCUACUUCAUGACCACUGGCCUAUUACAAAGGUUUUGACAUUAUCCGGUGUCGAUACUAAUCAUCCAUUUCUCCCUUUGGCACGCAGAUCAGUUGAAGAUCAUAUUCUUGUUUAUUGGAGUCAUCAACAACGAGAGCUUCUAAGAAACGAGGAGCAAGUUAAUAUAAAUGCUCGGGAUGUUGAUACAGGGGAUACGUAUGUUAUGACCUUGAGGUGGCGUGGAAAUUAUUAUAACCUAUUCGGGAAAUGGGAAAAGAUAUUACAGCAUAAGGGACAAGGUGUCGGAAAAGAAAUAAAGAUACGUUGGGGUAACGGAUGCUUAAACUUUUUAGUUCCAUAUGAACGUAAUGUUGUGUUACUACAGGGACAGGACAUGUGGCCUAUUAAGAAAGCACUAACUUUGUCUGAUGUAGACACCAAUCAUCCAUUUCUCACUUUGCCUGGAAAAGCUGUUGAGGAUCAUAUUCUCUUUUACUGGACAGUGCAAGCACGGGAACAGUUGAGAAACACACGCCAAGUUGAUAUAAGUGUUCGAGAUGAUGACACUGGUGUUUUGUAUCAAAUGAAGUUGAAAUUUCGUGGGAGUUACUACAAUCUUAUUGGCAAAUGGGGACAAAUCAUUAGAGGGAAGAUGCUCCAUGUUGGGAGGGAGAUUAGAGUACGCUGGGACAAUGAAUGCUUAUGCUUUUCAGUUCCAUAGCAUAUCUGUAUUCAGGCUGUAUAGUGAGUGUAAGAUGGCAAAAAGAGCUACUUGCGGGUGUGGAAAUUGAUACUAGCCAGCCACCAUAUGUUGUCAAAGUCAGUUGUAUGACCUAACAGGAGUACCUCCCGAAAGACAGAAGAUUAUGGUGAAAGGUGGUUUAUUAAAGGAUGAUGCCGAUUGGUCAAAAUUAGGGGUAAAAGAGGGCCAGAAGUUAAUGAUGAUGGGAACGGCAGAUGAGAUUGUGAAGGCACCUGAGAAGGGCCCUGUUUUUAUGGAGGACCUUCCAGAAGAAGAACAAGUUGUUGCGGUAAUGCCCUUUCUUGAAGAUAUCUACAGUUUUACUCCUUUCUCAUCCCUGUGUUUAUCUUCAUUACUUUCAGAUUAACCUCCUAAAAAUUGGAUAGCCACGAACUUCAAAAUUGUCUUUGCAGCAUUCAAUUUGAAAUUUGAAACUUGCUAAAAUCAAAAGAUUGGCUGCAAUAAAGAGUGAUCUAAAUUUGAUUGGUAAUUAUAAGUUGGCAAUUGGUCCCUAACCAUCGAUUGAUGGCAACAAUCUACCAGAAUUUUUUCGCAGCCUGAAGGUAGAAACCUUAAUAUGAGUAACAAAACUGCUGGUAGCUACUGUAGCUCCCUGCAUUUACAUAAAAAAUUUAGACUUAAUACCUUUUGGCUGAAAAAACCCACUGGUAGAUGGUUUCGUCAAUCACUUUUCAAAGACAUGGACCAGUACCCUAAUAAGUUUCUGCGACUCAUGAAGACUGUAGUUGGGCCAAGUACUUGUUUGUACGUGUUCUAAUGAAAAAGAGUUUGUCUGUUCUUAUAUACUAUCUGAGUUGGUCUGAUUCACUUAGUUUGAGUGUUAUAAUUAAGUUCAAUGUGUUGGGUUAUGCCUUAAUUUUCUGCCAAUUUGAAUUUAUUAUAUAUAAAGCCAGUUCUCAACUUAAUAAGCAUUGGACUUGUAUUCUUUUUAGUAAACAAGACGUUUUCUUCCAGGGUCAUUCUGCUGGCCUGUUUAAUCUGAAACAAGACGUCUUGUUUACUAAAAAUCUAUCUGCAGUUUUCUUGAGUGUAAGCUGCAAAAUUUUACGGAAGAUGUGAAGGCAGUUUCUCUGAGGUCCAAAUGCAGUUGUAGCAAAAUCUUAAUAUUAGUCAAUAAAUAUUUGGCAUUGGAAGUGUAAUAGUUUAUAGUUGAUAUUAUUUGUUAGGCUAACUUCAGAUGAUAUAAUCUACUUUAAAUAUGUUCCUAAUGACAUGUGUUCAGGUCCUAACCAUGUUUUAAACACCCCAAAGGUGGCUCAUAAUCUUGUUUAAUGUAGUUUGGCAGAUCUUGAAAUACUAGUUGAUAAUUUCUGAUGCUACAUUCAUUAGAUUUUAGUGUAUUAAGUGUCAUCACAUGGUACUUGCCGAUUGUUACUAUACCUGAUCAGUGAUCAACAAUCAGGUGUCACGAGGUUAUGGUGCGUUUAAGUCUAAUAUAUAAAACUUGAUUAGUUGUGUGUGAAUUUAAGUUGCACUGUCGUACAGUUCUCUCUCAUUAUAGCGUAUAUGUACUGUAGUUGGGUUCUUAUAGUAAACAACAUAGUGUCUGUGUAUGUCUACUAACAAUUCAAUUACACUUCCCAACCCCUGUCGGCUAGGGAGAAGGCAGUGCUUGUCAGUUUGAAGUUCAUACUGGCUGUGGUUACUGCUGAGCAAGUCUAUGGCAUGAUCCUCUUUGCAAAUAGUUUAUCAGAAAAGCCUUAGGAUAGAUGCAGCAGUCAUCUGGUUUUUCUGAUUAAACAUUUGAAAGACUCUGGAUGAUGUUUACCUGUUUCUGAAGCUGUUAAAGGUAUUCAGGCUGCUUUCCAUAAACUUUGGAGUUUGCACUGGGCUCUUUUUUUAAUGAUGGAAAUUGCACUGGAGUUGGUGUGGACAUCUUUGGAAUCUAGGAUAGCCGAUAUCGACAGUGAUUCUUAUCCCAUGUUGGAUGAGCCUAUAGUCAUAAACUGGUAUUUCCAUCUGUAGGUUUACUCUCAUCUAUGGCUUUAGAUAACACUAAGGGGUCGUUUGGUUCGCAGAGUGGUAUGGGUUUGGAAUGAGGAAUCGGGUUAAGGUGGUAUGGGUUUAAAGUAUCAUAUCUGAUAUCAUGUGUUUGGUUGAUUGCUGGAAUCAAUAUAUUUAACUUUUUUUUUAAAAUUAUAUUAAUUAUUUAUAUUAAUUAAAAUAUUAAUAAAAUUAUUAUUGUUAUGUAUUUUUGCAUUGUUGAUUAUUUUUAUAUUAAAUAUUAAUAUUUAAUUGUUUAAAUAGAGACAAAAAAAUAAAAUAUAAAACUGAUACCCAUACCCCCAUUUCAUACCCACCUCAUCCCUUGGGUAUCAAAAAUCAUACCUUGUGGGUUUAAGGAAUGGGUUUGAAAAUUUGUUUUCUUACAACCAAACACCAGGUAUGGGUUUAGAAUGGACGAAACCCAUACCUGAUUCCAGAUACCCCUCAACCAAACGACCCCUAAAGCUAUUUGUAGUCAAUCUUUGUUGAUUUCAUUUUGUCAAGUGUAAGAGCUUAGUGACAGUGACCAGAAUAAUAAGAAUGAGGAUCUCAAGAUGUUGCUGGAGGCAUAUUCAAGCAGUUAGAUGCACUCAGCAACAAGAUACUGUUACUGUUGCUGAGGAUCUUGAGAUACUGCUGAAGGCAUAUAUCUGCAAGUUUUUCCCGACGCUCUCUGGAUCAAUGAUACUUUGAUGACCCAUAUCAUAUAUACUCGAGUAUAGUUUGGUUAGAAGAAUCAUAUAUACUCACUUAGUCACUUUAAUACAAACUAAAGCAUGCUUUCCCAUUCAUAUAUCAACCUUGGCGGAAUUUGGAUGACUUAGAAGCUAAUAACAGCCCUGUUUAAUGUCCUAGGUAUUGACGACUAACUCAUUUUCCAUAGCUAUCAAGACUCCACAUAGCUGGGAUGCUAGGAAUGGACGUGGAUUUUCAACUAUUCCAUACAGACGGGGGAUUUUGGCUCAUUGGUCGGUAUUGUGUCAUCUUGUCCUGUGUAAUGAUGUUAAUGCUUGUUCUUGGAUAGUUGGAUUUGCCAAAGGGAAGAAGCUAGUUGGGUCUUGAGCACCUUGUAAUAUCUAGUAUAGCCUUAUAACAUCAGCUAAAGUGCAUACAAAUAAAUUAGCUUCUAGCUCAUUUGAAGUUUCUUUGGUUGCUUUAGAAGUGCUAUAGUGAAUCAAAUUUCCAUUAACAUCCAUCAAAACUGGUCUUUGUAACAUUUUUUAGUAUUGUCAUCUUUAAGUUAUUGGUUAUCUUUCUUGUGUA